ACAAGAACCCGCUCCCAGUACCAGGCCCGGGGCCCAGGCUCCCAUGCUCUCUGGAUCACUCACCAGGCCGGGGCUGAGAGCCCUCCAGGUGGUAGGAGAAGCGCAGGGCCCGGUGGUGCUGUGGACUGGGGCCGCAGGGCUCCAUGCCCAGUGCAGAGCCCAGCAUGGGACUUGAACUCAAGACCAUGAGAUCAAGAGCUGAGCUGAGAUCAAGAGCUGAGCCGAGAUCAAGCAUCAGAUACUCAACAGACUGAGCCACCCAGCUCAACUGUAUUCCUUCUGCUGUGCCUUUUAUUCCCCUGACCUGUUCAUUCCAUAACUAGAAGCCUGUAUACCCCACUCCCCUUCACCCAUUUUGCCUCACUCCAACCCCUUCCCCUCUGGCAACCAUCAGUUUGUUCUCCGUAUUUAUAGGUCUGAUUCUGCUUUUUGUUUAUUCAUUUUUUAGAUUCCACUUAUGAGUGGAAUUAUUUGGUAUUUGUCUUUGUCUGACUUAUUUCACUUAGCAUAAUACUCUCUAGGUCCAUCCAUGUUGUCUCAAAUGGCACAAUCUCAUUCUUUUUUUUUGGCUGUGUGAUAUUCCAUUGUGUAUAUAUACCACAUCUUCCUUAUGCAUUCACCUAUUGAUAGAUACUUAGGUUGCUUCUGUAUCUUGGCUAUAGUAAAUAAUGCUGCAGUAAACACAGGGGUGCAUAUAUGUUUUUGGAUUACUGUUCUCACUUUCUUUGGGUAAAUACCCAGUAGUGGAAUUACUGGAUCAUAUGGCAGUUUAUUUUUAAUUUUUUAAAUUUAAAAUCAAUUUAACAUAUAGUGUAUUAGUUUCAGGGGUAGAGUUUAGUGAUACAUCAGUUGCAUAUAAUACACAGUGCUCAUUACAUCAAGUGCCCUCCUUAAUGCUCUACAUCCAGUUACCCCAUCCCCCCACCCACCUCCCCUCCAGCAGCCCUCAGUUUUUUUCCUAUAGUUAAGAAUCUCUUGGGCGCCUGGGUGGCUCAGUUGGUUAAGCGACUGCCUUCGGCUCAGGUCGUGAUCCCGGAGUCCCGGGAUCGAGUCCCGCAUCAGGCUCCCUGCUCGGCAGGGAGCCUGCUUCUUCCUCUGGCUCUCCCCCCUCUCAUGCUCUCUCUAUCUCAUUGUCUCUCUCAAAUAAAUAAAUUAAAAAAAAAAAAAUCUUUAAAAAAAAAAAAAAAAAAAAGAAUCUCUUAUGGUUUGCCUCCAUCUGUUUUCAUCUUAUUUUCUUAUUUUUUCCCUUCUCCUAUGUUCAUCUGUUUUAUUUCUUAAAUUCCACAUAUGAGUGAAAUCAUGUGAUAUUUAUCUUUCUCUGACUGACUUAUUUCGCUUAGCAUAAUACCCUCUAGUUCCAUCCACGUCGUUGCAAAUAGCAAGAUUUCAUUCUUCCUGAUGGCUGAGUAGUAUCUCAUUGUGUGUGUGUUUGUGUGUGUGUGUGUGUGUGUACCACAUCUUCUUUAUCCAUUCAUCUAUCUAUGGACAUCUGGGCUCCUUCCAUAGUUUGGCUAUUGUGGACAUUGCUGCUAUAAACAUUGGGGUGCAGGUGCCCCUUCAAAUCACUGUCUGUAUCCUUUGGAUAAAUACCUAGAAGUGCAAUUGCUGGGUCAUAGGGUAGCUCUAUUUUUAACUUUCUGAAGAACCUCCAUACUGUUUUCCAGAGUUGCUGUACUAGUUUGCAUUCGCACCAACAGUGUAAGAGGGUUCCCCUUUCUCUGCAUCCUCACCAACACCUAUUGCUUCCCGAGUUGUUAAUUUUAGCCAUUCUGACUGGUGUGAGGUGGUAUCUCAUUGUAGUUUUGAUUUGUAUUUCUCUGAUGCCAAAUAAUGUGGAGCAUUUUCUCAUGUGUCAGUUGGCCAUUCGUAUGUCUUCUUUGGAGAAAUGUCUGUUCAUGUCUUUUGCUCAUUUCUUGACUGGAUUUUUUGUGUUUUUUUGGGUGUUGAGUUUUUUAAGUUCUUAAUAGAUUUUGGACACUAGCCCUCUAUCUGAUAAGACAUUUGCAAAUAUCUUUUCCCAUUCCACAGGCUGCCUUUUAGUUUUGUUGACUGUUUCCUUUGCUGUGCAAAAGCUUUUUUUUUUUUUUAAGAUUUUAUUUAUUUAUUUGACAGAUAGAGAGCACAAGUAGGCAGAGUGGCAGGCAGAGGGAGAGGGAGAAGCAGGCUCUCUGCUGAGCAGGGGGCCCGACGUGGGGCUCGAUCCCAGGACCCUGGGAUCAUGACCCGAGCUGAAGGCAGCUGCUUUACCAACUGAGCCACCCAGGCGCCCCUGUGCAAAAGCUUUUUAUCUUGAUCAAGUCCCAGUAGUCAUUUUUGCUUUUGUUUCUCUUGCUUUUGGAGAUGUGUCUAGCAAAAAAUUGCUGUGGCCAGUGUCAAAAGAGGUUGCUACCUGUGUUCUCCUCUAGUAUUUUGAUGGAUUCCUCUAUACUGUUUUCCACAGUGGCUGCACCAAUUUGCAUUCCCACCAAUAGUGCACGAGGAUUCCUUUUUCUCCACAUCCUCUCCACACUUGUUAUUUCUUGUCUUUUUGAUAAUAGCCAUUCUGACAGGUGUGAGGUGAUAUCUCACAGUGGUUUUGAUUUGCAUUUCCCUGAUAAUGAGUGAUGUUGAGCAUCUUUUCAUAGGUCUGGUAUAAGUUCUUUAUAUAUUUGAAUAUUAACCCCUUAUCAUUUGAUAUAUCAUUUGUAAAUAUCUUCUCCCAUUCAAUAGGUCAUCUUUUUGUUUCGUUGAUGGUUUCCUUUCCUGUGCAAAAGCAUUUUAUUUUGGUAUAGUCCCAACAGUUUAAUUUUGCUUGUCUUAGGAGAUAUAUCUAGAAAAAUGUUGCUAAGGCUGAUGUCAAAGAAAUUACUGCCUGUGUUCUCUUCUAGGAACAGUAUUUUUUUACAUUAGCAGCAAACGAGUAGAAAAAAAUGUAAUUAAAAAUAAGAUACCUAAAAUUAGUCACUAAGCCAAAAUGUAAACUUUCCUAAAUAUCAGGGUAACUACAAAAAUACCAAACAAAACAGACUGCAUAGUAAAAUACUUUUAAUAUAUGAACAUAGAGCUAAAAAAGAAAAUAAAACUUAAAAUAAUAUGACAAUAUUAACACCAAACAUCUUUUGUAUCAAUAAAUAUAAAUGGUCUUAA